CCCAUCCAGCCGGCGUCACCCUCAUUUUCUGCUCGUGAGCCGGAGGGGGAAGGCGAAGCCGCUCACCUGCGAGCUGCCAGCGUGUCACCGGAGCCAGGCAGCAGGUGUCGAGCAUCCAACCUUCCGGACUUUACCCCGCCGGAGCUGGCUCGGGGCAGCGGCUGCGGCGAGGACAUCGGCACCCGGCUGGGGAUGCGGGACGGGGAAGGGGCUCCCGGCAGCACCCCCACCCCGCACGGUCCGAGCCCGGAGCGACUUCUGCACUUGCCUGGCGUCGAGCCCCACGUGCAAGACCUGACCUGAACGUUUUGUUCGUUCGGCUCGCGUUAGGCAGGUCCAGCCCGUCUGCAAGCACCCGCGCCAUGCCGGGGCGGCACGUCCCCUGCGCCACGCGGCUCGCAGCCCACGCGGAGCGUGCACACCCGUGCGGGACGCGCGGGCUGGUUUGCAGCGGGUGCGACCCCGUGAGCAUACAGUCCGUGGGGCACGCAUGCAGCCUUCACCCACACGCACGGGCGCAGGGUGGCACGGGCGCGAAGCUCUCAGCAGGCAGUGCCCGCAGAAGACACUGUGCGUGCAACACGUGCGAACGCCACGGGACGCACACGCAGGACACGGGACCCGCGUGCCGUUUGCACACGUGGCGGCGGUGACACUCGGCACUGCAGGCAGUGAGACGGGGGACACACGCUAGGUGUGCCCAGGGCACGAGAGGAAAGCCACCCACCCGUGACACGCUAGGCACACGCGUCCCGCCUGCCGGCAGCAGCCUGGCCGUGCGCCCGCCAGCAGCGGGGCGCAGCUCCAGGUAGGUCUCAACGGUCUGCUGGCACCGAGGGAGCCACAGGGGAGGGAGAGCAAGAGCAGGGCAGAGGACUGGGGUGGGGGGGUCGCAUCCUUUCCCUGCCUGUGCGCUGGGCUGCCCGGGCCAGGCACGUGGUCCUGCUGCUGCCCACGCUGCUACGGAAGGGUCUGGGGGGGAUGUGGCAAGCUGCGGGGGGCUCCUCCAGGACAGCCCGCUCAGUGCCUACCCCACGCUCAAAGCACGCUGUAGGGCUUGACCUGGACUUCUGCUCCCCUCCCUGGCCAGCACAGAGCCCAGGGCUGAUCCUUGCCCCGUGGAGCUAGCGGGGAGUCCCAGAGAGCUGGGACAGCGACGGAUCAGCCCAGGAUGCGCACCGUGCCUCUGUGCCUGGCCAUGCCUGGCUCUCUGCGUUUUUCCUGAGAGCCCUGAGCAGUUCCUGCCCUGCCCUCCGGGCGCUGCUCCCAGGCACUCCCCGCAGGCGCUCGUGCUUCUUUUUUGGCGUAGGACCCAGCUGUGCUCAGGGAUGCUCUGAGCCUACCGGUGGGUCCUGAGCCCUGCCUGCAGCAUCGGCGAACGCCACGAAGGCUGAGCCUUGUGUGCUGUGGGACGAGGUGAUUCCUGCUGCUUUCCCCCAUCCCCACCCGGUCCCUGCACGGGUUGAGGCUCAGCAGCCCCUGCCCCAGAGCAGAACAGCCCCGCUCCAUCCUGGGGUGCCUCUGCAAGGGAUGGAGAUCAGGCACGUCGCUGAGCAGAUGCUUGGAACAUCUCCAGCAGGUGGGGGGGGAAAGCAUCAAAAGCACGGGGCGAGG
ensembl:lncRNA